rnacentral:rRNA from 1 species
UUUUCACCGGAGCUUGCUCCACCGGAAAAAGAAGAGUGGCGAACGGGUGAGUAACACGUGGGUAACCUGCCCAUCAGAAGGGGAUAACACUUGGAAACAGGUGCUAAUACCGUAUAACAAUCGAAACCGCAUGGUUUUGAUUUGAAAGGCGCUUUCGGGUGUCGCUGAUGGAUGGACCCGCGGUGCAUUAGCUAGUUGGUGAGGUAACGGCUCACCAAGGCCACGAUGCAUAGCCGACCUGAGAGGGUGAUCGGCCACAUUGGGACUGAGACACGGCCCAAACUCCUACGGGAGGCAGCAGUAGGGAAUCUUCGGCAAUGGACGAAAGUCUGACCGAGCAACGCCGCGUGAGUGAAGAAGGUUUUCGGAUCGUAAAACUCUGUUGUUAGAGAAGAACAAGGAUGAGAGUAACUGUUCAUCCCUUGACGGUAUCUAACCAGAAAGCCACGGCUAACUACGUGCCAGCAGCCGCGGUAAUACGUAGGUGGCAAGCGUUGUCCGGAUUUAUUGGGCGUAAAGCGAGCGCAGGCGGUUUCUUAAGUCUGAUGUGAAAGCCCCCGGCUCAACCGGGGAGGGUCAUUGGAAACUGGGAGACUUGAGUGCAGAAGAGGAGAGUGGAAUUCCAUGUGUAGCGGUGAAAUGCGUAGAUAUAUGGAGGAACACCAGUGGCGAAGGCGGCUCUCUGGUCUGUAACUGACGCUGAGGCUCGAAAGCGUGGGGAGCAAACAGGAUUAGAUACCCUGGUAGUCCACGCCGUAAACGAUGAGUGCUAAGUGUUGGAGGGUUUCCGCCCUUCAGUGCUGCAGCUAACGCAUUAAGCACUCCGCCUGGGGAGUACGACCGCAAGGUUGAAACUCAAAGGAAUUGACGGGGGCCCGCACAAGCGGUGGAGCAUGUGGUUUAAUUCGAAGCAACGCGAAGAACCUUACCAGGUCUUGACAUCCUUUGACCACUCUAGAGAUAGAGCUUCCCCUUCGGGGGCAAAGUGACAGGUGGUGCAUGGUUGUCGUCAGCUCGUGUCGUGAGAUGUUGGGUUAAGUCCCGCAACGAGCGCAACCCUUAUUGUUAGUUGCCAUCAUUCAGUUGGGCACUCUAGCAAGACUGCCGGUGACAAACCGGAGGAAGGUGGGGAUGACGUCAAAUCAUCAUGCCCCUUAUGACCUGGGCUACACACGUGCUACAAUGGGAAGUACAACGAGUCGCGAAGUCGCGAGGCUAAGCUAAUCUCUUAAAGCUUCUCUCAGUUCGGAUUGUAGGCUGCAACUCGCCUACAUGAAGCCGGAAUCGCUAGUAAUCGCGGAUCAGCACGCCGCGGUGAAUACGUUCCCGGGCCUUGUACACACCGCCCGUCACACCACGAGAGUUUGUAACACCCGAAGUCGGU